rnacentral:rRNA from 1 species
UACGAACGGUCCAAACGUUAUUCGGAAUCACUGGGCUUAAAGCGUACGUAGGCGGCUCGGAAAGUAGGGUGUGAAAUCCCACGGCUCAACCGUGGAAUUGCGCUCUAAACUAUCGAGCUAGAGGGAGAUAGAGGUGAGCGGAACUGAUGGUGGAGCGGUGAAAUGCGUUGAUAUCAUCAGGAACACCGGAGGCGAAGGCGGCUCACUGGGUCUUUUCUGACGCUGAGGGACGAAAGCUAGGGGAGCGAACGGG